GCGGGACUAACCCGGCCCGGCGCGGAGGUGGGAGAUGCGGCUAAAGCGGCCCAGAGCUGCAGGAGCUGUGGAGGCUUUAUUCCUUCACCUCACUUGUGUUCACUUGGGAGCCCGUUAUGUGUCGACAUCUGAGAGCGAAGGCUUCAUUUUCCAAAUCUCUCCAAAAGGCUACCUAAAAACAAGGCCAGUGUGGCUGGAGCAUAAACAAGAGGGAAAAUGAUGAGAGAUGAAGCUGAACAUGAAACUUCUGUUGGACAGCCCUGCUCCACAGCACCAGCACACUGCAGUGCUCGCCUGUGUGGGUUUCGGGAGUUUGAGUAUAGUGAUUAAAGUCACCAAGUUGGAACCAGACUGCCUGCAUUUGAAUUCUCACUCUGCCAUUUACUAGUUGUGUGA